rnacentral:rRNA from 1 species
CCUACGGGAGGCAGCAGUGGGGGAUAUUGCACAAUGGGGGAAACCCUGAUGCAGCGACGCCGCGUGAGUGAAGAAGUAUUUCGGUAUGUAAAGCUCUAUCAGCAGGGAAGAAAAUAACAGUACCCGACAAAGAAGCCCCGGCUAACUACGUGCCAGCAGCCGCCGUAAUACGUAGGGGGCCAGCGUUAUCCGGCUUUACUGGGUGUAAAGGGAGCGUAGACGGUAAUGUAAGUCUGGAGUGAAAGCCCGGGGCCCAACCCCGGGACUGCGUUUGAAACUGGCUAACUAGAGUACCGGAGAGGCAAGCGGAAUUCCGGGUGUAGCGGUGAAAUGCGUAGAUAUUAGGAGGAACACCGGCGGCGAAGGCGGCCUACUGGACCGAAACUGACGUUGAGGCUCGAAAGCGUGGGGAGCAAACAGGAUUAGAUACCCGAGUAGUC